GGCAUAGAUGAUCUGCCCUAAAGAGGGGGAUAGCUCAGGGAAACUUGGGUUAAUACCGCGUAAGCUGAACGAGUGAAUGCCGUUUAGUAAAGGCUUCGGCCGCUUUAGGAUGAGUCUAUGUUAGAUUAGAUAGUUGGUGAGGUAACGGCUCACCAAGUCAACGAUCUAUAACUGGUCUGAGAGGAUGAUCAGUCACACUGGAACUGAGACACGGUCCAGACUCCUACGGGAGGCAGCAGUGAGGAAUUUUGCGCAAUGGGCGAAAGCCUGACGCAGCGACGCCGCGUGGAGGAUGAAGUC
rnacentral:rRNA from 1 species